rnacentral:lncRNA from 1 species
GUUUGAGGUCACCAGACCCUGUGCGUUGCUCAUGACAAGGAGGAAUCUUACUGAGCUGCUGAUGCAGUUGGACUGGCAGGAGAGGUGGAUUUUUAUUUAGAAGAUAAUCCAGCAUGCAGAGAAUGUACAACACAGGUGGUGAAUUCAUGCCGUGGUUAUGUUAUUCAUCGUGUUAUUCAGAAAACCAGGAACCUCUCCGCUAUGGCCCCUUACAAGCACGUUGUAGACCACUGGAUGUUUUGACGUGAAUGAGUUCUCUGAAAAUUCAUUACUGAAGGUACACAAUCUGUUAUUCACCGUUUGUCAUUCUCUUGUUUUAAAAGGUUUUGGCUUUUCAGUCAGUGAGCAGAAUCAAUCCCAAGUGAUGGAGGAAGACCAAUCACCCACGCUGUAGGGUGCAAACUGGCCCAUCCUGAUGGGUUCGAAUGGAAGAGACCCCGAGCAAGCCACGACGCACAAAGCAAGGGCCGUAAGAGCGGUGCGAUGGAAGCCUUGGUCUUCUGUGGCCAGCCAGCAAGAACCCAUCAGCAGCUGUGAUGAGCAGAGCAGACAUGGGGAGACAGGAGGCAGCUGA